AAAAUGCCAUCCUUUCAGCAGUAUACAACCACGCAACCACAAAUCCCCCAGAUCUUCCCAGGGCCUGCAAAAGAAUGCCCCCAUCAUCAGCCAGUGCUUUAUGCAAUUAAAAUUUAAAGCCCACAGUAUUGAAAGAGAAGAAAAUGGUAGGCAUGCCUUCUUUCUUAUGAGAACCAAAGUCCUCUGAGAUCACAUCCGUGCUGAAGACCCUGCAGACAGAGUGGGAUUUAGGAAUACAACACAGAGAGAUGGUAGUUAGCAGCUAAGAACAUUGCAAGAUACAAUCGGAAUCCUAUAGAAGACAUCCCUGCUCUGCUGGACCCACCCAAUGUC
rnacentral:lncRNA from 1 species